rnacentral:rRNA from 1 species
UAGGGAAUAUUGGACAAGUGGGGGAAACCCUGAUCCAGAAAUGCCGCGUGAGUGAUGAAGGCCUUAGGGUUGUAAAGCUCUUUUACCCGGGAUGAUAAUGACAGUACCGGGAGAAUAAGCUCCGGCUAACUCCGUGCC